rnacentral:lncRNA from 1 species
AAACCCAGCCCACUCCUUCAAGCCCACCCAUCUGUCCCUGCACGCUGGAAAUCAAAUCCUUACCUUUGCGCACAGCAGGCGAGACAAAGCGCUGCUAAAGCAGAGACAAAUGCACUCAAUCUGUCUGCCUGAAAUCUCCACAUUUCCACAAACACGAUGGAGGAAAAAAAUGUUUGGAGGGAAGGGAAAGAUCUUCUGAAAUCCCCCUCCAAAAAAAAAAAAAAAAAGAAUGACAGAAGGAAAGAAGACAACAAAUAAUUUCCUUUAUUUUUAAAAAAAGCACAAAACAGUAAAAAAAAAAUGGGGGAAAUAUAUAUUCCCCCUCCCUUCAGUGCCAGUCAAAGAAUUCACCUCUUCUUCCUUUCAGCAUCCUCUCAACAAGAGACAUCCUCUGGCAAUGGAGAAAAUCCCAAGAGAGAAAAAUGAAGUGUCCCCAAAAUGGACUCAGCAAAAUGUGGAAUCAAAUCUCACAGGGUGCCAUCGUUACAUUGUGACAGGAGCUGCCUCUCCCCAUCGUGAUGCUGAGUCAGCUGCAGCGUGAUGCAGACUUAUGACGGUACGGUGCAGAGGUAUCGCCUCGCUUGCUAUUCCUUAUACUCUAGAAGAACCCCUCCAUCAAAAUCUGUAAAGCCAUCUGAUAUCCUGUCUUCAAUCUCCC